CCCUAGCUGGUCUGAGAGGAUGACCAGCCACACUGGAACUGAGACACGGUCCAGACUCCUACGGGAGGCAGCAGUGGGGAAUAUUGCACAAUGGGCGCAAGCCUGAUGCAGCCAUGCCGCGUGUAUGAAGAAGGCCUUCGGGUUGUAAAGUACUUUCAGCGGGGAGGAAGGUGUUGUGGUUAAUAACCGCAGCAAUUGACGUUACCCGCAGAAGAAGCACCGGCUAACUCCGUGCCAGCAGCCGCGGUAAUACGGAGGGUGCAAGCGUUAAUCGGAAUUACUGGGCGUAAAGCGCACGCAGGCGGUCUGUCAAGUCGGAUGUGAAAUCCCCGGGCUCAACCUGGGAACUGCAU
rnacentral:rRNA from 1 species